rnacentral:ribozyme from 12 species
UUUUUCUAGUUUUUUCUUUCUUUUUUUUUCCUUGUCUUUACAUUUUUUUAUUUCCUUGUCUAUUUUCGUUAUUUUUUUCGUUCGUUGGGUGAAGGAUGAUGAAGGUGGAGGGGAAGAGAAGAACAGAGAGAGGCAGAGGAGGCGGAUUCUCUUGCCUUUUUUUUUGUUUGUUUUUGUAUUUUUAAAGAAAAAUAAUAAAAAAAACAAGAAUAUUGCGCUCGUU